CACGCAGGGCCUAAUAUCGGGCUUCGCUUCCAUUCGUCGUGCCCCGCUUCCUCUCGUCGUGCCCAUACCCGGUUUUUCUGCGGACUUCCCCGGGAGCCACCUCAUCGUGCCUGGAAAUCCAUCAAAGAAGUAGAAAAGAAGAAUAAGUGAUUAACAGAUGACCAGAUCUCUUCCCUAGCUUCCCCUUCAGUAAUCUCCCAAAUAAACUCUGUGACCAAACUGUGUGAACACGAUCACAUCUAGAGGAAGAUCACAAGCUGAGGAGCCUGCACACAGUGGGGGAUGGCGACGACCCAUCUCAAUGAUUAACUGAGAUUACUUCCCUCCUUCCCUUUAAAAGUUUCAUGAGCAGAAUCUUUGGAGGUGGUUUUUGGGAUACGUUGAGUCCACCAUCUCCCCAGAUUGCUGGCAUUCUGAUUAAAGGCACUUUUCCUUUUUACCA